ACAGGAAGGGGUAUAACGUUUGAAAUGUACAUAAUAAAUAAAAUAAGAAAUAAAACUUUUAAAAAGUGGAGAAAUUUGGAGUCCGGGAUGCUAGGGUCGUACAGUAUAAGGGAGGUGAACCUAGAAUUAUUUUGGGCUGGUGAAUAGCUGUAUGACUUUGGAUGGACUCUACAUUUUUAAGCCCACGGAAAAGCUUCGUACUCUGUGCAUGUUCCCAAACGUGUCCUGUCAAUAUCGUGCAACGGUGAUUGGGAAGGAGCAUGCUUGGAAGAGUGUGGGCUUUGAUGGAAAGAGCAUAGUCUAGAAUGUUUCAGAAUAGGGGUGCUUUAAACAGGAUGUGUGAAUUCAUAGAAAAGACAUUCCCUACCUCCAUGACGGCAUCAAGAAAGAAAAGGUUGGAAGUGGAGAUUAAUGUGAUUUGACAUGGAUGGCUGAAGGCGUGACACUCCACUGUGAUGGUUUUGAUAACUUCACAUGUUUAUGCUAAUAAGUCCAAUAUCCCAAAGGCUUUCACUUCCUCUGCUGUCAUUUCCCUUCGGGUGAGGAAUGCUGCAGACAUCUGGACUGGUUACGGCCAUUCAGUUCCAACAGCCCUACUGGGUUACAGUAGAAAGAAGUAAGCUCUCUACCAGCUUUCAAUAAUGUCAAAAGCAAGACUCUUAAUCCGCACAGUACAGCAGCUUGUACAGCUUGCUGCACACAGUAGGAUGACUGGUGUGGAGAGCCGAUGAGGCUUGAGGCCGGAGAAAGGGCUUGGGCCUGUUCACGUUCUGUCAGUAACUAGCUUGUACUUUGACAUCUUCUGUAUCUGAAUCUCUUCCAGGGUGAGUGACUAUUGGAGGGAUGUGCAUUCCACCCAGGAAGCUGCACCAGCAGCACUGGCUGGUGCUUUUGUUUCAUUCUGUCCCUUUUCCUUCGGAAUCCUCCCUUCCCUCUCCAAGAUGUGACUAGUCUCAAAUUUUCCUAGGGUUAAACUAUACUAAGGGAGGGCUUCUCACAGCUACCCAGCCAACUUAGCUGCAAAACUUCUUCCAGGCCUGUUCCUUGGCAGCCAGACGCUUCUCUAUUCCACAGCCAAAAAUGAUAUAUCUACUCUGCUUAGGCUGUUAGCCAAGAAUGUGGGAUGACCUUAAGCUACAUGCCUUGCAUUCCCAAUGUUCUGGGCCUUGUUCCUGGUCUGCUGGUUCUUUGGGACUUUUGUUUACCCUUUUGCACAAAGUUAAAGGAAGAAAGCAGUCACUUUUGCCUGCUAUUCUGGUUGCUGGCUGCCAUCUCUGAUGACUUUUCCCCGAACCAACAGCCCAGCUAGUUGCUUAGUAAAUGUUUUGACUCCAGAGGCUUCAAUCCUGGAAACAAAAGAGUGUUGCCCAUUAAAUAAUUUACAAUGAGUCUACUUUUCUCGGGGGUUCCUAACAGGUUUAUAGCUUCCUUAUCAACCAGUGUCUAAUUCAACUUGCUUUGCUAGCUGUAAAAGUUUAUGCUAUCAUUAACUUUUAAACAUUUAUACUUUAUAGGACAUCACUGAGUUUUAUAAACAGUGCUAUAAAUUAAUAGCUGCUGGCAGUUUUGAAAGCCCAUGGAAUGCUUUCGACAGACAUAGGUAGAACUGCAUUAUCGCUUUUUAAAUUCUCCAAACAUUCAUUGGAGACAGCUAGUUUUUGACAGUCAUCUGAAGCUAGUUGACAUUAACUCACAUUUUGUACUUGGAUGGGGAACAGGGUUUCCAUUCAGGAAUGUUAGGUAGCCUAGAUUAGCCAUGAACUCAUAAUUCUCUUGCCUCAGCUUCUGUAACGUUAGUAUUUUAAGUCAUACCACCAUACAUUGUUCUACUUGAUAUAGUUUAAUAUUAAAUACUCAGUGAGUUUGAAAAAUGAUUUCUAUCUUAUUUUAACUCCCAUCAUGGAUCAGCAACAUUCUAAACAGUCAUUCUCUCACGUUUACUUUCUUAGAUGGGCCGCCAUUGAGAGAACUAUGUGACUUGGGUUGUUUAUUGGUUGGUAGUUUUUCUGCAGGCAUGCUAUGUUUCUCCUGCCUUGCUCAGAAACCACUGAAGAACUUUCACCACAACUGUCUGUGUCUGAUUCACUAGGAACAUUCACUAGGCCUUUCGGUACUUAUGUGAAGGAGAUGAAAAUCACUGUUCCACAUUUUUCAAACCAAAAUUUAUGUAAAAACUACAUCUUAGAAAAUAACCAAUAACUGUCUUUAUAAUGCAACAGAUUACUCUGAAAUUCUGAUUAAUAUUUAUACAAUUAAUUCAUUUUCAGAAAACAAAAACAAAAACAAAACAAUCUUAUCAUUGCCCUAGCUGGUUGGUUGAGGGGAAAAGUCCACCCAGAUUCUAGCCCAAAUAUGGGUGAAUUUCAUGUGCAAAUUGAUUCUAGUGCUGAGAGUAGCAAUAUGGUUCUUUAUUUAAAUGAGCUAAAGCUUUCAAAUGAAUCAUAAAGGUAACACAGCACGUGGCCCGUGCCAAGUUGUCAUUUUCAUUAAGUGUGAGAUUGCACCUGAAGGACAGAUUAAUUUGCAGCUGCUAAAAAUAUUUCAACAGAGUGGUACUGUUACAAGUGGCAGGUGGUGCCAAACGUGAAUUUUGCAAGAACCGCCAUCUGCGGGAUGAGACACGGAAGAAUGUCAAGCGGGUGGUGAAGGAGAUAAAGACGAAGAGAAAACAGUGUUGUGUGUACCCAGGAUUUAUUGUCAUUAACGAGACUAAAGAUUCCAUGCUUCGCUUAACAGCCUUGGCCCAAGAUUAAUAAAUAAGAUUAUUUAUUUAGCUUCUACCGUAUGCCCACAGCAUUGCAAAAGGCACCCGAGUAUCUGUGAAGACAAAGUCCCUUUGCCAGAGGCAUGCCUUUCAAGCCACCCAAAUGAGAGAAUGCUUUACAACUAUGUUUACUUUCAUGGUAUUUAUAUUGAAGCUUUAUGAUGGUGAGAUUCAUGCCCUUUGAUCUUCUUUGAAUGGAUCUUGCCAUCUUCGUUUGAUGUUUAGGUUUCAGUACACAUUAUCACUAACUUCCUGCUCCACAUCCCGAGAAAUUAGUCCAAAGGGUGUGAGGUGGAUGAUUUCCUUGAACCUUAUCACCUGGGAUUUGGCAGACUUCACAGAGUAGAGAACGUUUGAGAGUAGCUCGUGAAGCUGCAGCUUUACGCUCUUAGGAGUCCGUUUUAUUUACAUUACUUUCAGUGGAUUUGGUGGGAGAGUGAAACAAGAAUUCCUAUCUGAGAAAUGGAAAUUGUCGCUUUUCCUUUUGGACCAACUAGGUGGAUUUUUGUUUGCUUGUUUGUUUGUGCGUGUGUUACACUUUUGUAACCCCCUUCUACAAGUAGCUGGACAGAAUAGUAGCUUUCUUUUUGAUGCUAGGAGAAGUCUAAGACUCCUAAGGAGAAUUCAUAAAGUAGAAAAUCAGGACCAUUGGAAGGGUCUGGGAAAACUUUUGUCUGGGAGGAUUUGGAAGCAAGGCAAGUUGUUGAACUGCCUGAUGAUCCUUAGGAUGAUGGGAAUCUCUGGCCUGUAAUGUAUGUGUUGUUUUUAGCUCAUAGAACAGAGGAACAUGUUUUAGAUUAUUUCAAUCUUACUGAUGAAAUCUAAUUUUGAAAAUAUGACGAACAGAAAAUUAAUUUUACUUCAUUAAUUAUUUAAUGCAGAAGGAUAAGAUCAAAAAAGAAAAGCUUUUCCUAGCUUCAAAGAACAUUCACAGACUUUCAGAGAACAUUUUGAGAACUUGUCAUUGUGCAAUAACUUUUCAAAGUAGUUUCAGUUAAAGAACCAUGUCUAAUCACUUUUAGACCCAGAAACCUAAAUGUUUCUGGGUCUAUAAUGGGUUUGUGCCAUCAAAAUAACUUAAGCAAGCCAUGUCAAAAGGAAAGGAAGCUAUUUGUAGUGGCACAUGCUCCUAGGAUAUGCAAAAGAGGCAAAGGAAGGAAUAUCAUGAGUUCAAGGCAAGUCUUGGUUGUAACCUUUGGAUCAUCAAAACGGCUCUACAAUUAAAGGUGUCGGCCACUAAGCCUGACAAUCACAGAAAGGUCAAUGGGACCCUGUCAUAGUUAAACAUGAGGACUAAGUCCAACAAGUUGGACUUCCUCUAGCAUGGCAUGGAUAACUGUUCCCACACAAAUAUAGACUGGCACAUGAAGUAAA
rnacentral:sRNA from 1 species